UGGCCAGAGUGCCAUCACCUGGCUGGUUAGGCUGUGGCAGCUCCUGGCCAGAGAGCCAUCACCUGGCUGGUUAGGCUGUGGCAGCCCAGGGCCCUGCUGGGUUCAUAUUAAGAACUUUGAUAGGAGAAUAUGGAGAAGAGUUCACCCACUGUACCUUCCCCUAAUCCAUUAUUCACUCUCAUGUGUUUCUAUUUAUACGCCUCCUGUUUCUAGCAACUAUGUGUGUUGACUGUCUUUGACUUGGGCAAACUUGGGACUUUAUGCAUGUACCUUGUAAAUCCUGCAUGCUCAUGUUAACACCAUUCGCUGUAGGUCUGCUGCUCAGUUAUACUCCCAAUAUAGUGUUCUUGUAAAAUGUCUUGCAUUAGCUCUAGGGUUAUAUUUAGAGAGCUUUGCAAGUAGUUGUUAGUUUUUUCAUUCAGCUUUAAGUUGACUUGCAAUGUUAAAUGGAAAUUUCACCUCUGCUCUAUUUUACUAUAUAUGUACAUUAAUAUGUUAUUAAUAUAUCAUGUCAUGAAAAUUUAGAAUUUCCUCACCACAUGCAAAUACGAGUGUUUUUGCAUCUCACUGUUAGAAACGGGCCAGCUACAUGGUUGUAAGCCAACCACAAUAUCCAGAAUUCAUGGCGAUUUCAGGACGUGGAGGACCGCCCAAUUUGAUGUUAGAGAUAUUAAAAAUGUUGUUUUUAGCCAGCACUUUCAGCCAGAGGAAGUCUCAGUUGAUGGGGUUGCCAUGUCAUCAUACUUUCAAAGGGGAUGUUUUUCCAUCGAUUUUCCCCUCACUUCAAAGAGGAAGGCAUCCCAUCAGCCAACAUCAGCGCUGCAAGACAACACGGUAAGAUAGUUAACGUUACCUAGCUAACAAGCUAGAGAACUACAUUUGUUAAUCUAAACCAAAAUCUAGCUAGCUAGCUUCAAUAAUACGCUGGCUAUAUUCCAAAGCAUAUCAGUGUAAUUAGCCGGCUGUUAUCUGGAGACAUGAUUUCUAACUUUGCAAGCUAAUAUAAGCAUCGUUAGGUUACGUUGGUGAACUGUUAGCCUCUGCUGUAGUUAGUUAGCUAGCUAACGUGACUAGCUGUGUUCUUUUUAGAGUCCGAUCCCAUCAUCUGCAGAGGCAUCAACAUCAAGCUCAGCACCAGGAACUAGUGAGACCUGCAGUACAAACAAAUCUUCUGCAAUAGGUCGAAGCAGUGAGUGGUAAAGAAAGUGUAUGAGGCUUGUUCACCUGGCUGUGGAUUGCAGAAAAGACCAGAGUUUUCUACAAGGAGCCAGAGUUGCAGCCCCCCCAAUCUCAACAUUGCCACAGCGCCAAAGCCUGCUAAACCAGCUGCCAUUACCCAACACAAGAAGAGGUUCACCAGCUGAAAAACACUCAGGAACAUGCCUGGAACGUUCAAUCAACACAACAUCCGACUGAUGUUGUAGUAUAAUAUAGAAUGCCUAGUAUGGUCACAACUGCAUUGUGGUGUAUAUAUUGCUAGCUGUAUAUAAGUGUUUUGUAUAAUAUAUUUUACAAGCGACUAAUUGAUUCCAGCAGCAUCAGAAACCAAUAAACUGUUAACUUCAA